rnacentral:rRNA from 1 species
GAAAGGCCAAUCAAACUCGGAAAUAGCUGGUUCUCCGCGAAAUCUAUUUAGGUAGAGCGUCCUGUGAAUACUCCUGGGGGUAGAGCACUGGAUGGGCUAUGGGGGCUCACCGCCUUACUGAUCCUAACCAAACUCCGAAUACCAGGAAGUACUGCAGGGCAGACACACAGUGGGUGCUAACGUCCAUUGUGGAGAGGGCAACAACCCUGACCGCCAGUUAAGGUCCCUAAGUUAUGGCUAAGUGGGAAAGGAUGUAGAGAUCCCAAAACAACCAGGAUGUUGGCUUAGAAGCAGCCAUCAUUUAAAGAAAGCGUAACAGCUCACUGGUCUAAAUAAGGGUCUCCGCGCCGAAAAUGUACCGGGGCUCAAGCCAUACACCGAAACUGCGGGCGUGUUUGACACGCGGUAGCGGAGCGUUCUGUAAGUCUGCGAAGGGAUACUCGUGAGAGAUCCUGGAGAUAUCAGAAGUGCGAAUGCUGACAUGAGUAACGAUAAAGAGGGUGAGAGACCCUCUCGCCGAAAGUCCAAGGGUUCCUGCGCAACGCUAAUCGGCGCAGGGUUAGCCGGCCCCUAAGGUGAGGCCGAAAGGCGUAGCCGAUGGGAAUGGGGUUAAUAGUCCCCAGCCAGUGGGAAGUGACGGAUGCCGUGUGUUGUAUGCCCUUAUUGGAUUGGGUGUGCAGCGAAGGUGUCCCUGGAAAUAGCUCCCACAUUCGACCGUACCCGAAACCGACACAGGUGGACUGGUAGAGCAUACCAAGGCGCUUGAGAGAACUGUGCUGAAGGAACUCGGCAAAUUGCUCCCGUAAGUUCGCGAGAAGGGAGACCCGUGAUUGGGCAACCAGUCAUGGGUGGCACAGACCAGGGGGUUGCGACUGUUUAUCAAAAACACAGGGCUCUGCGAAGCCGCAAGGCGACGUAUAGGGUCUGACGCCUGCCCGGUGCCGGAAGGUUAAGAGGAGGUGUGCAAGCACCGAAUUGAAGCCCCGGUAAACGGCGGCCGUAACUAUAACGGUCCUAAGGUAGCGAAAUUCCUUGUCGGGUAAGUUCCGACCUGCACGAAUGGCGUAACGACUUCCCCGCUGUCUCCAGCACAGGCUCAGUGAAAUUGAAUUCCCCGUGAAGAUGCGGGGUUCCUGCGGUCAGACGGAAAGACCCCGUGCACCUUUACUACAGCUUCACACUGGUAUUCGUGAUGACAUGUGUAGGAUAGGUGGUAGGCGUUGAAAUGAGGGCGCCAGCUCUCAUGGAGCCAUCCUUGAAAUACCACCCUUGUCCUCAUGGAUAUCUAACCGCGGCGCAACAACGCCCGGGACCGUGUGUGGCGGGUAGUUUGACUGGGGCGGUCGCCUCCCAAAUGGUAACGGAGGCGCGCGAAGGUGGGCUCAGAGCGGUCGGAAAUCGCUCGUCGAGUGCAAUGGCAUAAGCCCGCCUGACUGCGAGACUGACAAGUCGAGCAGAGACGAAAGUCGGUCAUAGUGAUCCGGUGGUCCCUCGUGGAAGGGCCAUCGCUCAACGGAUAAAAGGUACGCCGGGGAUAACAGGCUGAUGAUGCCCAAGAGUCCAUAUCGACGGCAUUGUUUGGCACCUCGAUGUCGGCUCAUCGCAUCCUGGGGCUGGAGCAGGUCCCAAGGGUUUGGCUGUUCGCCAAUUAAAGCGGUACGUGAGCUGGGUUCAGAACGUCGCGAGACAGUUCGGUCCCUAUCUGCCGUGGGUGUAGGAGAAUUGAGAGGAUCUGUCCCUAGUACGAGAGGACCGGGAUGGACGUACCUCUGGUGGACCUGUUGUGGCGCCAGCCGCAUUGCAGGGUAGCUAUGUACGGAAAGGAUAACCGCUGAAGGCAUCUAAGCGGGAAACCUACCUCAAAAC